rnacentral:rRNA from 1 species
UAUCGUACUANAGAGGUGUGAGGGUUGUCGCUGACCUUUCUAAAAGGUCGUGCACGCCCGAGUGCUCUCAAUCCAUUUCACCCUUUGUGCAUCACCGCGCGGGGUCGCUCCCUCUUGGCUCGCUUCGAGAGGGGGAGGCUCGCGUUUUUCACACAUAAACACCCUUAUAGUUUAGAAUGUCAUUCAUUUGCGAUCACACGCAAUCAAUACAACUUUCAACAACGGAUCUCUUGGCUCUCGCAUCGAUGAAGAACGCAGCGAAAUGCGAUACGUAAUGUGAAUUGCAGAAUUCAGUGAAUCAUCGAAUCUUUGAACGCAUCUUGCGCCCCUUGGUAUUCCGAGGGGCACACCCGUUUGAGUGUCGUGAAAUUCUCAAACCUUCUUGGUUUCUCGAUCAAGAUGGCUUUGGACUUUGGAGGCAUUUUGCUGGCUUUGCGAAAAGCCAGCUCCUCUCAAAUACAUUAGUGGGGUCCCCUUUGCCGAUCCCCAGGCGUGAUAAGAUGUUUCUACGUCUUGGGAUUUGCUCUGUUCCUUGGGAACCCGCUUCUAACCGUCUCAUGGGAGACACCGUUCGAGUUUGCUCGACGCACGAACCUUGACCUCAAAUCGGGUGAGACUACCCGCUGAACUUAAGCAUAUCAAUAA